GCCCUUGUAGUAUAGCCCGGUCUAGAAUGGGGCCCUGUCACGGCCUCGACGCGAGUUCAAAUCCCGCCAAGGGCG
rnacentral:tRNA from 1 species